UGCGCAGGCGGACUAUUAAGUCAGUGGUGAAAUCUCCCGGCUCAACCGGGAAACUGCCAUUGAUACUGAUAGUCUUGAGUAUAGUUGUAGUGGGCGGAAUAUAGCAUGUAGCGGUGAAAUGCUUAGAUAUGCUAUAGAACACCGAUCGCGAAGGCAGCUCACUAAACUAUAACUGACGCUCAGGCACGAAAGCGUGGGGAGCGAACAGGAUUAGAUACCCUGGUAGUCC
rnacentral:rRNA from 1 species